UACGUAGGGUGCAAGCGUUAAUCGGAUUUACUGGGCGUAAAGGGCGCGUAGGCGGCCACCGCAAGUCGACUGUGAAAUCUCCGGGCUUAACCCGGAAAGGUCAGCCGAUACUGCGGGGCUAGAGUGCAGAAGGGGCAACUGGAAUUCUCGGUGUAGCGGUGAAAUGCGUAGAUAUCGAGAGGAACACCUGCGGCGAAGGCGGGUUGCUGGGCUGACACUGACGCUGAGGCGCGAAAGCUAGGGGAGCGAACGGG
rnacentral:rRNA from 1 species